CCUACGGGAGGCAGCAGUAAGGAAUAUUGGACAAUGCCCGCAAGGGUGAUCCAGCCAUGCCGCGUGCAGGAAGACGGCCCUAUGGGUUGUAAACUGCUUUUACACCGGAGAAAACCUCCCCUCGUGAGGGGAGCUGAUAGUAUGGUGAGAAUAAGCAUCGGCUAACUUCGUGCCAGCAGCCGCAGUAAGACGAAGGAUGCAAGCGUUAUCCGGAUUCAUUGGGUUUAAAGGGAGCGUAGGUGGCCUUAUAAGUCAGUGGUGAAAUCUUCGAGCUUAACUCGGAAAUUGCCAUUGAUACUGUAGGGCUUGAGUACAGUUGCUGUGGGCGGAAUAUGACAUGUAGUGGUGAAAUACAUAGAGAUGUCAUAGAACACCGAUUGCGAAGGCAGCUCACAAAACUGUAACUGACACUGAGGCUCGAAAGUGCGGGGAUCAAACAGGAUUAGAUACCCUGGUAGUCCGCACUGUAAACGAUGAUUACUCGCUGCUGGGAGGUAACUUUCAGUGGCUUAGCGAAAGCGAUAAGUAAUCCACCUGGGGAGUACGCCGGCAACGGUGAAACUCAAAGGAAUUGACGGGGGCCCGCACAAGCGGAGGAGCAUGUGGUUUAAUUCGAUGAUACGCGAGGAACCUUACCAGGGCUUGAAAGUUAGUGACCGAUCCUGAAAGGGAUCUUUCCGCAAGGACACGAAACUAGGUGCUGCAUGGCUGUCGUCAGCUCGUGCCGUGAGGUGUUGGGUUAAGUCCCGCAACGAGCGCAACCCCUACCAUUAGUUGCUAGCAGGUAAUGCUGAGGACUCUAGUGGAACUGCCCGCGCAAGCGGUGAGGAAGGUGGGGAUGACGUCAAGUCAUCACGGCCCUUACGUCCUGGGCUACACACGUGCUACAAUGGCUAUUACAGAGGGCAGCUACAUGGCAACAUGGUGCAAAUCUUCAAAAAUAGUCUCAGUUCGGAUUGGGGUCUGCAACUCGACCCCAUGAAGCUGGAUUCGCUAGUAAUCGCGCAUCAGCAAUGGCGCGGUGAAUACGUUCCCGGGCCUUGUACACACCGCCCGU
rnacentral:rRNA from 1 species